GACGAAGGAUGCAAGCGUUGUCCGGAAUUAUUGGGCGUAAAGAGCUCGUAGGCGGUUUGUCGCGUCGAAUGUGAAAACCCGGGGCUCAACCCCGGGCCUGCAUUCGAUACGGGCAGACUAGAGUUCGGUAGGGGAGUCUGGAAUUCCUGGUGUAGCGGUGAAAUGCGCAGAUAUCAGGAGGAACACCGGUGGCGAAGGCGGUUCUCUGGGCAUUACCUGACGCUGAGGAGCGAAAGUGUGGGGAGCGAACAGG
rnacentral:rRNA from 1 species